rnacentral:lncRNA from 1 species
AUUUAGCCCUCCAUAUCCCAGGCUCUGGGGCUCAGGGUUCAGGCUACCAGCAGGACUGGGGUGCACACGCAUGCACUCCAUCCAGAGAACGCAAAAUUUGAGUCAAAUUUCACUUUCAACUCAGGAAAGUCAAGGGAGCCAGUCACAAGGUGUCCUCAGCAGAACAAAGGCCUCCAGAGAUGUUCACACGCUGAUCUCAGGAGCUUAUCUGAGAAGAGUGUCCAUGAGGGAAAGGAUGGGCAGCUACAGAAGCUUGUUGGUAAUGGUCCAGCUGAAUGUUCUAAGGCAACGGGCAGUUUGCAGGGGAUGGACACAAGGAGAACUUGACCCUGUUUGCAAGUUUCCGGGGAAGGAGCUACGAGGACUCUGAGCCCUAAAGCUUCAGGUCAAGGGAACCAGCUGGCUACUCUGUGGACGGAUUAGCAGAGCCUUGGCGCUCGCCUGCUCCCCUUAGAAUCCCCAUCUCUAUCUUCCCUGUCAGGGCUAUCACAGAUGAAGCUGCCCUGACUGUUUCUGUAGGAGUCUUUGAAUACAUACGUUUUCUCUUCUCUUGAAUAAAUACGUUUUCAUUUCAUUUGGGAGUGGAGUGAUGGGUCAUCUGGCAGAAGGAUGUUUAACUUCUUAGGAAACGAACCAGCUGUUUUCUGAAGAGGCUGUGCCAUUUUUUCAUUCCCACCAGCAACAUCUGAGCUUUCCAGUCCCUUAAUAUCCACUCCAAUAGUCAUCUUGAGAGGUGCGUGGGGUUACCUCGGGAUGGUUUUAAUUUACACACAUUUCCCUGCUGGCUAAUGAUGGUGAACAUCUCUUCAUGAGCUGCUUGCUAGCUGUACAUCUUCUUCUGUGACAUGUGUGUCUUCAAAUCUAUUGUCCAUUAAAAGAAAUGUAUCAU